rnacentral:rRNA from 1 species
UGGGGAAUAUUGCACAAUGGGCGAAAGCCUGAUGCAGCGACGCCGCGUGAGGGAUGACGGCCUUCGGGUUGUAAACCUCUUUCAGCAGGGACGAAGCGCAAGUGACGGUACCUGCAGAAGAAGCACCGGCUAACUACGUGCCAGCAGCCGCGGUAAUACGUAGGGUGCAAGCGUUGUCCGGAAUUACUGGGCGUAAAGAGUUCGUAGGCGGUUUGUCGCGUCGUUUGUGAAAACCAGCAGCUCAACUGCUGGCUUGCAGGCGAUACGGGCAGACUUGAGUACUGCAGGGGCGACUUGAAUUCCUGGUGUAGCGGUGAAAUGCGCAGAUAUCAGGAGGAACACCGGUGGCGAAGGCGGGUCUCUGGGCAGUAACUGACGCUGAGGAACGAAAGCGUUGGUAGCGAACAGG